GAUGAACGCUGGCGGUAUGCUUAACACAUGCAAGUCGAACGGACUCUUCGGAGUUAGUGGCGGACGGGUGAGUAACGCGUGAGAAUCUGGCUUUGGGUUCGGGACAACCACUGGAAACGGUGGCUAAUACCGGAUGUGCCGAGAGGUAAAAGAGAAAUUGCCUGAAGAUGAGCUCGCGUCUGAUUAGCUAGUUGGUGAGGUAAAGGCUCACCAAGGCAGCGAUCAGUAGCUGGUCUGAGAGGAUGACCAGCCACACUGGGACUGAGACACGGCCCAGACUCCUACGGGAGGCAGCAGUGGGGAAUUGUCCGCAAUGGGCGAGAGCCUGACGGAGCAAUACCGCGUGAGGGAAGAAGGCUCUUGGGGUGUAAACCUCUUUUCUUAGGGAAGAACAAAAUGACGGUACCUAAGGAAUCAGCAUCGGCUAACUCCGUG
rnacentral:rRNA from 1 species